rnacentral:rRNA from 1 species
CGUGGAGACAGGUGGUGCAUGGCUGUCGUCAGCUCGUGUCGUGAGAUGUUGGGUUAAGUCCCGCAACGAGCGCAACCCUCACCCCUUGUUGCCACCGGGUUAAGCCGAGCACUCUAGGGGAACUGCCACGGUCAACGGGGAGGAAGGCGGGGAUGACGUCAAGUCAUCAUGCCCCUUACGCCCUGGGCGACACACGUGCUACAAUGGCUGGUACAAAGGGAUGCAAGACCGCGAGGUGGAGCUAAUCCCAAAAAACCGGUCUAAGUUCAGAUUGCAGUCUGCAACUCGACUGCAUGAAGGAGGAAUCGCUAGUAAUCGCGCAUCAGCACGGCGCGGUGAAUACGUUCCCGGGCCUUGUACACACCGCCCGUCACACCACGAAAGCCGGCUGUACUCGAAGUCGCUGAG